AGGGAGCCUACACCUUCUCCCUCUCCUACCCUUCUCACUAACAUCCCAAACAUCAGUCAUCCAAACACUGAGAACCCCGCACUACCUCAAAACACACCCAACAAGCACCCACAAUAUCCACCCGUACCUCACCAUUAUAGAACUCCACCACAAAAUCAAACUAUCCCACCACAAUACCCGCCAAACACCUACGACACUCCAUAAAAUGCUUUACCAAUUAUUCCUGAACCCCAGAAUUCCACCAAUGAUCACCACCAUACUCAGAUUCCAG
rnacentral:lncRNA from 1 species